GAUGAACGCUGGCGGCGUGCUUAACACAUGCAAGUCGAACGGAAAGGCCCAAGCUUGCUUGGGUACUCGAGUGGCGAACGGGUGAGUAACACGUGGGUGAUCUGCCCUGCACUUCGGGAUAAGCCUGGGAAACUGGGUCUAAUACCGGAUAGGACCACAUUUUGGAUGGUGUGGUGGAAAGUUUUUCGGUGUGGGAUGAGCUCGCGGCCUAUCAGCCUGUUGGUGGGGUAAUGGCCUACCAAGGCGUCGACGGGUAGCCGGCCUGAGAGAGGGUACGGCCACAUUGGGACUGAGAGACGGGCCAGACUCCGACGGGAGGCAGCAGGGGGGAAUAUUGGACAAUGGGCGGAAGCCUGAUGCAGCGACGCCGCGUGGGGGAUGACGGCCUUCGGGUUGUAAACUCCUAUCGCUAGGGACGAAGCGUUUUUGUGACGGUACCUGGAGAAGAAGCACCGGCUAACUACGUG
rnacentral:rRNA from 1 species